AGAAUCAACGCUGGCGGCGUGCCUAACACAUGCAAGUCGAACGAGAAAGGGUAGCAAUACCUGAGUAAAGUGGCGCACGGGUGAGUAACACGUGACUAACCUACCCUGGAGUGGGGGAUAACUGAGGGAAACCUUAGCUAAUACCGCAUAACACCUACGGGUCAAAGGAGCAAUUCGCUUCAGGAGGGGGUCGCGGCCGAUUAGUUAGUUGGCGGGGUAAUGGCCCACCAAGACAGUGAUCGGUAUCCGGCCUGAGAGGGCGCACGGACACACUGGAACUGAAACACGGUCCAGACUCCUACGGGAGGCAGCAGUGGGGAAUUUUGCGCAAUGGGGGAACCCUGACGCAGCAACGCCGCGUGGAGGAUGAAGUCCUUCGGGACGUAAACUCCUUUCGAUCGGGACGAUAAUGACGGUACCGGAAGAAGAAGCCCCGGCUAACUUCGCGCCAGCAGCCGC
rnacentral:rRNA from 1 species